GGUGAAGCAAUCAAGGAGAAACAGAAAGUAAAUUAGUUGCCAGCGUGUCAGAUGUGUGUUUUAAAAUGAUCCGUAUUUCAUCUUAUAUUCUGUCAUGAAGAGUUAAAUUAUCUCCAUAAUGAAGUUGUUUCUCGUUUUCAUGACCUCUCUCUCUCUGGUGGACGCUGCAGGAGAGUCUGCUGUGAUUGGCUCACAUGAACCAGUUAAAGUAGUUGUUGGUGAAGAUGUCAUUCUGCCAUGUCACCUGGAGCCCCCAUUUGACAUGACGACUCUAACGGUGGAGUGGAAAUACCAUGAAGGCAUUGUGCACCUCUAUAGACAUAGGACGGACUAUCUAGCUGAUCAGGAGAAAAAUUUUAAAGGUAGAACAUCUCUCUUCCGUGAUGAAAUGUCCAGAGGAAACAUUUCACUAAAACUGACCAACGUCACUGAACAGGAUGAAGGAAAUUACACCUGCUUUGUUCCCAAACUGGGAAGUCAGCUCAGAGAAGGCUACGUUAUGCUCAUUGUUGAGAAAAGCCAGAACGCGAUGAAGGAAGUCUGACUAAUGACAGCAGUGCUGACACUGGCACUGCUGGCAUUAGUAAUAUUACUGUUGCUGCCGUUGUUUUUGUUGUUGUUGUUGUUGUUGUUGUUGUUGUUGUUGUUUCUGUAUUACUGAAGAAAAAGAAAAAGACAGAACGCAAUGAGGGAAGUCUGACUGAUGGUGCGCAAUGGAUGACCUUAUCACUGGAGCAGCAGCCGAUCCCUCUUCAUCUCCUACUGAGGACGUGAGACAAGGACAAAAAGAGAGACGCAACAAGCAACGAAGACGGCCUUCAGGAAGGUUUUCCUAUGGCAGAAAACGAAACUAGUACCUGGUGAUAACUCCUGGUUCUUUGACCCACCUACCAAACAAAAAAUACGCUUUUAGUCCAUCCAAAUAUUCAAAUAAUUAAAAGUAAAACAUCC